AACGAACGCUGGCGGCAGGCCUAACACAUGCAAGUCGAGCGGGCGUAGCAAUACGUCAGCGGCAGACGGGUGAGUAACACGUGGGAACGUGCCCUUCGGUUCGGAACAACCCAGGGAAACUUGGGCUGAUACCGGAUACGCCCCGGACUUGAUCCGGGGGAAAGAUUUAUCGCUGAGGGGUCGUCCCGCGUCUGAUUAGCUGGUUGGUGAGGUAAUGGCUCACCAAGGCGACGAUCAGUAGCUGGUCUGAGAGGAUGAUCAGCCACACUGGGACUGAGACACGGCCCAGACUCCUACGGGAGGCAGCAGUGGGGAAUAUUGGACAAUGGGCGCAAGCCUGAUCCAGCCAUGCCGCGUGAGUGAUGAAGGCCCUAGGGUUGUAAAGCUCUUUCGGCGGGGAAGAUAAUGACGGUACCCGCAGAAGAAGCCCCGGCUAACUUCGUGCCAGCCGCCGCGGUAA
rnacentral:rRNA from 1 species